UUUUACCAAAUAGCGACCCUAACAGCAAGAAAACGCUAAAACAGCGUACAGCCUUCCCAACGGCACCUUCAACGUUAACAACCCACCAUUUCAACGCAAAACAGUAACCAGCCAACAAUUUCAACGUCAACGACAGUAGCAACAAUCAACAACUGCUGCAGCUCAGAGAUAACGUCCCAUUUCAUCCAAUUCCAGGUCAAACAUUCUUUCAAAUUUUGAAAUUUCGAAUCUCAAUUCGUUUUCCCUUUUUUACCCCUUUGUUUCCCCCCAAAACAACCACAAAUUCUUCUAUAAAUACCCACAUAUGUCGAGAAAUAGGGAGGGAGAUUUUUGGGGAGAAAAAUUGAGGAUUUGGAAGGCGCAUGCUUCUAAUCCCACGUAACCCAAAGAAUUUUCGAAGAAAUAUACUCAAAAGCUAUUCCGACGAAAGCUUUGGAGUUUAAACUACGGUUGUGAAAAUCGUCGUCAAAGAUCGUUUGUCUCAAAUCGCUGCUCCGGAAAAGGUGUCAGGGACAAAAAUAUAAUAAUGUUUGAAGUGCAAGUUAUGCGAUUGUGAAUUAUUCCUGAUCGUGAAAAGAAAGACAAUUUCGUUUUUAUGGAGAUGGAGAUAGUGCUGCAAGAAGAAAAGAUAUUAGUAUCUUCAUUUGGCUAUUAAUUGUACAUGUAUAUGUUGACGUGUUUAAAUUAUGAAUAAAAUAUAGCUGUUGAAUUUUUGUAUUGGGAGAUCGUAUCACACAACUAUUUGAAGAUAUGUUAUACGCUUGUUCAAGAAAAAAAUAAGUGAGUUAGAAUUGUAUAUAAUUAAAAACAUUGUAGUUGAAUCAAA